GGAUGUGAAGGCGAUCUGGCUGCGACAUCUGUCACCCCAUUGAUCACCAGGGUUGAUUUGGCUGAUCUGGCUGGCUAGGCAGGUGUCCCCUUCCUCCCGCACCGCUCCAUGUGCAUCCCUCCUGAAGCUGCCCCCUCGGUGGAAGAGGAUGACCAUCCCAGAUAGAAGGAGUGUACUGUUCUUCGGUCAAGGGAAUACGAUAGCUGCGCUCCCUUGCUAGAACUUCCAAUAAUGGGAGUCAUAGUCAACAUCUAGAGCGUACCAUGCUAGCUACCCCUGUUGUAUUGAAUUUGAUU